AGUACAAUGACUUGAAACACGAGCUGCGUGAGUUUCUUCAACAAUCUGCAAACCAGAGAAAGGACGUCACUCCUGAGGCUUUCCAUGAGUUUUGGGAGGAAUUG